rnacentral:rRNA from 1 species
AGCGAACGCUGGCGGCAGGCUUAACACAUGCAAGUCGAGCGGGCACUUUCGGGUGUCCGCGGCGGACGGGUGAGUAACGCGUGGGAACGUGCCCUCUGGUUCGGAAUAACUCAGGGAAACUUGAGCUAAUACCGGAUACGCCCUUUUGGGGAAAGGCUUGCUGCCGGAGGAUCGGCCCGCGUCUGAUUGGCUAGUUGGUGAGGUAACGGCUCACCAAGGCGACGAUCAGUAGCUGGUCUGAGAGGAUGAUCAGCCACACUGGGACUGAGACACGGCCCAGACUCCUACGGGAGGCAGCAGUGGGGAAUAUUGGACAAUGGGCGCAAGCCUGAUCCAGCCAUGCCGCGUGAGUGAUGAAGGCCUUAGGGUUGUAAAGCUCUUUUAUCCGGGACGAUAAUGACGGUACCGGAGGAAUAAGCCCCGGCUAACUUCGUG